rnacentral:lncRNA from 1 species
ACGAAUAACUUAAUAUUUCGUCGGCUUUAGUUAUUUUUUUAAUUUUUUAAUUACAUACUAUAGCCGACGAAUAAGUUAGGGUAUUCGUCGGCUAAACCCUAAAAUUUUUCUAUUACCUACUAUAGCCCUAUCUUCGGUGGUUAUUUUCCGUAAAAUUUUUAGACGACUUCUUGCGUCUCAUCGGUUUGAAACUAUUUUCAGUUGGAGGUCCGGCCAAAAUACGUAAUUUAGACAGUCGAACGACCUUUUCCGUGCGUUUAGGGGUUUGACUUACGAGAUUGACCAUCCGGAUCGAGCCCUUAUUCUUUUCGGAUCAAGUUGAAUUUUUUCCCAUACAUGUAUUUUGUCAUGAUGGUCAGAUCUGACGGUCGGAUUUCUGUUUCUCAAGUUUGAUCAUCACAAUCACAACAUGCAUACUAAUGUUGUAUAACUUGUUUACCAAGUGCUAUGUAAAUGUUCCGUUUCAAAAACAAACUAUACGUAAAACCUUCAAACGCCAAAAAGUCAUGAAAUAAGAUAUGACGAGAAUGUUGAAAUACAUCCACGGUUAAAAAAUCACACUAUUCCGGUAAAUAUUCGGUGCCGAUAGUUGCGGUCAAUGCAAUUUUUCAUUUUUUCCCCCUAUGAGUAGCCCUAUAUUCAGUGGUUAUUUUGUGUAAAAUUUUUAUACGACUUGUUGCGUGUCAUCGAUUUAAAACUAUUUUCAAUUGAAGGUCCGGCCAAAAUACGUAAUUUAGACGGUCGAACGACAUUUUCCGUGCUUUUAGGGGUUUGACUUAGGAGAUUGACCGUCCGGAUCGAGCUCUUAUUCUUGUCAGAUCAAGUUGAAUUUUUGGUCAUACAUGUAUUUUGUCAUGGUGGUCAGAUCUGACGGUCGGAUUUCUUUUUCUCAAGUUUGAUCACCAAAAUCACAAUGUGCCAAAUGUAUAAAAAUACUUUAGCCGAUGAAUUUCAAAGGUUUAGCUGACGAAUUUCGAAAGUUUAGCCGACGAAUUUCAAAGUUUUAGCCGACGAAUUUAGAAGGUUUAGCCGACGAAUUGAUUCUUAGCCGACGAGAUUCUUAGCUUUAGCCGUAGCCGACGAAAUAAUUAUUUCGUCGGCUAAAGUUUUCGGGUUUAACUGCUCGACAGCAGAAAAACCCUAGCCUCCUCCCUCCUCCCUCCCUCUCCCGUCUCUGCCUCCUCCCUCCUCCCUCUNNNN